rnacentral:rRNA from 1 species
GCCCUUAGAGUUUGAUCAUGGCUCAGAUUAAACGCUGGCGGCAUGCCUAACACAUGCAAGUCGAACGGUAACAGGCCUUUCGGGGUGCUGACGAGUGGCGGACGGGUGAGUAACGCGUGGGAAUCUGCCUGUGAGUGGGGGAUAGCCCGGAGAAAUCCGGAUUAAUACCGCAUAAGACCUUAGGGUGAAAGCGGGGGCUCGUAAGACCUCGCGCUGACAGAUGAGCCCGCGUCCGAUUAGCUGGUUGGUGGGGUAAAGGCCUACCAAGGCGACGAUCGGUAGCUAGUUUGAGAGGAUGAUCAGCCACACCGGGACUGAGACACGGCCCGGACUCCUACUGGAGGCAGCAGUGGGGAAUAUUGGACAAUGGGCGCAAGCCUGAUCCAGCAAUGCCGCGUGUGUGAAGAA